rnacentral:rRNA from 1 species
GGAGUUUGGUCCGUGUCUCAGUACCAAUGUGGGGGACCUUCCUCUCAGAACCCCUACUGAUCGUUGCCUUGGUGGGCCGUUACCCCGCCAACAAGCUAAUCAGACGCAUCCCCAUCCCUCAGCGAUAAAUCUUUACUCCUAAUUAGAUGUCUGCAAAGGAGACCAUAAGGUAUUAAUCCAUCUUUCGAUGGGCUAUCCCUUACUCAGGGGCAGGUUGGAUAC